rnacentral:lncRNA from 1 species
GAUUGGCUGAGCAGGGCCGCGGACAGAGAGAAAUGCCGAGGAAUAGGGGCGCGGCCGCCCGGUUUCGGCGAUGGGUUAUAGGGUCCGCGUCAGCCCCGCGCCCGCACAGCCAACGUCACGCCGCAUUCUUAUUUCCAAAGACCCCUGGAGCUUGGGGUCCCACCCCAGCGGUCUUUCGGGGCGUCCCCUGCCCUUCACGCGCCGCGCCGGCUCGGCCCGAAGCGCCCUGCGGACCCGCAGCCUGGGCCGCCCCGAACCUGACGGCCCCGCGGGGGUCGGACGCGGGAGGAACGGCCUCGCUUUCAGAGACGCAGCGGGAGGGCGGUCCCCGCUGUCCCUCUGGCCGGGUCCUCAGCACGCGUUCUCCUCACUCCCAGGACUAGCGAGCGGCGGGCGCGGACCGGGGCCUGGGGUCGGAGGCGGCGCAGCCAGAAAGGCCCCAGCGGCGCUGAGACGUUUGGGGGAAGGCGGGGGCUUCGCGUUUCGAUGGCGGGAAGCGGAAUGAGGUUGGACCGGCCGGGCCGGCGUUCAGGGACCCGGCGGGAGGCGGAGGGCUGGCGUCCUCGCGGACAUCCAUCUGCAGCGAACCAGGCAGAGGCUUUGGGAUUAGAUCCUUGACUCCUUGCGUCAGUAGUUAAGCUUUGUGAUGGUCUGAGGUCCAUGAAGGGAUUAAAACCAGGAACUGGCUCCUUCUCCAACCACUAAAGCCUCAUCUGGGCCCACAAGCCCUGGCUGUUCCCUGGAGCGUGACUGGAAGAUGUGAGCAGCUUUGUGCUGGAGCCCCAUUUCCAUGGUGCAUGCUGCUGCCAAACCAGAGAUCACUUGUAGACUUGAAAGGGAACAUGAGCUUUGGGUGAAGGAUUCCCAGCCCCCAACAGAGGCCAAAAAGCUACCACCCAGCCAGGCAGAAGGAACAUAAAGUAUGCAUUUUAUGAUACGACUCAGCUUGGAGGGAUGAAGUAGAAGGUCCUCACUGCACCUCAUGGCAGGCUGCUGACGGCAGAUAUUUUACCGGGCUCACUGAACUGGGCAGUCAGGGAAGGGUCGGCUCCUGCUCUGUCCAGCUGUCUUCAUAAGGGACUCUGUGACACUUUUUAUAAAAAUGACUUUGAUUUCUGCAUAAGAAGGCUUCCCAAGCUUGCUGUCUAGCAGUGGCUGCUACAGGGAAUUAUUCACAUGGCAGCAAGAGAGCCCUGGCUCCCUGGACCAGGACAUUCCCUUUGUGUGUGUUGGAAUGAGAGCAGGAGGAGUGCUGGUCAGAAGCCCCUCCCCAGGGCUCUGGGACUUCAGUGUUCUCAGACAAACUGGGCCGCUCCUCUGAGCUGGGAUGCUGACCCACACUUGGCCCCGGCUCUGGCAUCCACAGGACGCUGCCUUAUCCGUCAUCUCGCUGGGGCUGGGGGCUAGAGGCUGAGCAGGUCACACUGAACAAAAGAAGUGUGUCCCCAUCACUAGGCUAACAUCUGAGUUUCUUCCACAGUAUUUGGUAACACAGUCAGAAACAAGACUGAAGAUGAUUCUGGAGGCAACUGGGAACCCCCCAGAACGAUUCUGCAGGCUUCUGGGAAGCUGAAAAACCCCAAGGCCAGACUGGCCUCAGAAUGCCUGAGUCCUUUUGAUUCCACUGGAAAAGCCAUCCAUCUGUGCCAAGUGUGUGGAGAGCUUCAAGAGCCAUAUAGCCCUGGCCACCAUGAGCACAGCCACGUGGGGGAGUAGUCCUGAAAGUGUCCUGGUGUGGCAAAGGCUUUCCACUAAGUGGACCUCAGAUGGCACAGGAAGACCCUCCUGGGGAUGUGGGAGGACACUGCCUAGUGGGUGAGGGGCCGCUCUUUCAGGUGUGCACACUAAAUGCAGAGACAGCCUCUCCUGGCUGCCAAGAAGCCUGUGCAUGAUCCAGGACCACAAAACACUUGCAAACUCACUGCCCAGAGGCCCUGUGCCUGUCUGGAGUGUGCCCAGUGUGUCUGCGCCCCACAGCUUGUCCUGGCCCGCCAGCAGAGCCGCAGCACUGCAGGGCCCUUCUGUUGUGAGUGCCAGGGCCCUUGCUGGCUGCCUGAGCAAGGCAAAAGGUUCAAAACAGGAAGUCUCUGGGCAGCUAUUCCCAGGUGCAGAGGGGAGCAGCGGCCACACAGGUGCCAGUGUGGCAGGAGCUGCAGUCAGAGGCAGCAUCUCAAGAGCCCUGGGAGCAGGGGCCAGCCACGUGAAGCCCACGAGUGUCGCUGGCACAGGGAAGGGACACGAGGAUCACACUGACCCAAGAGAAGGCCCACAGUGAGGAGGCCCCACCGAAGCAUCCCCAGCAACAGGGACUGAGGCAUCUGAGGCAGCCAGCCCACUCGGAAAGGCCUGCUGACUGCACUCCAGAUGUCAAGAGCACCCUUGGGAAAAAGAAAGGCAGGAGUGCAGCACUUUCUAGAGCCUCAGCUCACUUCUCUCCUUCUAGCUCCAGCCGGAGUGAUGGAAGAGGCUGCGCUGGGAGCUGCCUCCCUGGGAGCCUACCCUGCCCAGCCUGAGAGUGGAGGCUACCAGCAUCACGCUUCCCCUAGUGAAAUCCAUCUGUCCUGAAGGGAACCCUGGGACGGGGUCAAGGAAACCCUGUUCACCCCCACCACGGGGUCAGGUCUUCACCAAAGGGAGGCCGCACGGAUUCCCAGUCGCAAACCCAAAGCCUUGCUGCCUUUGCCUCUGUUUCCAUAGUUGUUUCAAUGUCUUUUUUAAAAAUCACAUACACUCGAGUAAGACUGAGUCUCCUCACCGAAGAGAUCUGGCUGUAUCCCGAGUCUCUGAAACCUUUGCUCCAGUCCCGUGGGAGCGUGCCGUCCCGAGGAUGUGGAGCCGCAAGGGCUCGCCAGAGGGAUCUCAGGAGCUAGGCCUCAAGGAGCGCUGUUGAGUGACAGGUCUGAUGCAGUAGCUUUUACUAUUGGUGGAAAUCGAUGUUUUUUCCUUGAAAGUCUACCUUUCUAAGUUCAGUAAACCAAAUUAGAUCAUGUAUGUGAAAGCACUUUGUAAACUAUGCAGUACUCCAGAAAAGGCAGCCAAGCCCUUAAUUAUAACUCACCAAACAGCCAAAAAAAAAAAAAAAAA